rnacentral:rRNA from 1 species
AUUGAACGCUGGCGGCAAGCCUAACACAUGCAAGUCGAACGAGUGGCGGACGGGUGAGUAAUGUCUGGGAAACCGCCUGAUGGAGGGGGAUAUCUUCUGGAAACGGUAGCUAAUACCGUAUACUAUCGGAUGUGCCCAGAUGGGAUUAGCUAGUAGGUGGGGUAAAGGCUCACCUAGGCGACGAUCCCUAGCUGGUCUGAGAGGAUGACCAGCCACACUGGAACUGAGACACGGUCCAGACUCCUACGGGAGGCAGCAGUGGGGAAUAUUGCACAAUGGGCGCAAGCCUGAUGCAGCCAUGCCGCGUGUAUGAAGAAGGCCUUCGGGUUGUAAAGUACUUUCAGCGGGGAGGCGUUACCCGCAGAAGAAGCACCGGCUAACUCCGUGCCAGCAGCCGCGGUAAUUC